GUGGCCACCAAGGGGCCGGGCCCUGCACAGCGCCCUGGGGAAGCUGGUUUGAAAGCUCUGGAGCGACCCCAAUGCCGGCUACUGCCUGGGGUCUAGGAAUCCAGAACAUUCCACACAUUGCCUAAGUCAACAACCUGUUGCACACACACACCUGCAACUGUUUUGCAAAAAUAUUUACGUAAUUUCGAAGCAGCUCUUCACAAAAUAUUCAUCAGUUACAGAAGGAAGUCACUUCACAGUGGAAAAAUCUGGCAGGUGCCACCUUAAUCAAGUAACCAAAAUGAACAUCAUCAGUAAUAGGACAAAUUGCAAUCGUGUGCCUCCUGAUAGUCUAGCAAGAAGAACACAGCAUCACUUCUAUGAUGCUCCUGCCAAUAAUAUAUAAUUGGAAUCUAAUCCUAAAGCAACAAAUUCAAAUUAAGGAAAAUUCUACAAAAUAAUUGGCCUGUAAUAGAAGUGUUAAAGGUCAUGAAAGUUAAGGAAAGACUGAAGAACUGUUCCAGACUGAAGAUGAAAGAGAUGUGAGAAAUAAGUGCAGUGGUGAUUCUGAACUGGAUCCUGACUUGGCAAAACUUGAAUAGGUCUGUUGGUUGGAUGGUAGAAAUAUAGUAAUGUUGAUUUCCUGAUUUUUGCUAGCUAUAUUACAAUUUUAUUGGAUUCAGUCCUUGUUUACAGAAGACACACAGUAUGUAGGGGUUAUAAGAAGUCAGCUCAGGAACUUUCAAAUCAUUUAGCAAAACAAAAGUUCUUCGUACUUUAAUUCCAAGACUUCUAUAAAUUUGAGAUUAUUUUUAAAAUACUUAAAAAAAACUCCUUUAAAGUCUCUCAACAUGCUGUCCUAUUAAUAAUAGAUUUCUAAAUUUUUUAUUUUUAUCAACGUUUUGUGUGCCCAUAGUUUGAAGUAUUAAAUUGUUUUUAUUUAUUAAGG
rnacentral:lncRNA from 1 species